UGGCGGACGGGUGAGUAAUGUCUGGGAAACUGCCUGAUGGAGGGGGAUAACUACUGGAAACGGUAGCUAAUACCGCAUAACGUCGCAAGACCAAAGAGGGGGACCUUAGGGCCUCUUGCCAUCGGAUGUGCCCAGAUGGGAUUAGCUAGUAGGUGGGGUAACGGCUCACCUAGGCGACGAUCCCUAGCUGGUCUGAGAGGACGACCAGCCACACUGGAACUGAGACACGGUCCAG
rnacentral:rRNA from 1 species